UCCGGUUGAUCCUGCCAGAGGCCGCUGCUAUCCGGCUGGGACUAAGCCAUGCUAGUCUAGGGGCUUGUACUCCUUCGGGGGUGCAAGCACCGGCGGACGGCUCAGUAACACGUGGACAACCUGCCCUCGGGUGGGGGAUAACCCCGGGAAACUGGGGCUAAUCCCCCAUAGGUGAUGGGUGCUGGAAUGCCCCAUCUCCGAAAGCGCUUAGCGCCCGAGGAUGGGUCUGCGGCGGAUUAGGUAGUUGGUGGGGUAACGGCCCACCAAGCCUAAGAUCCGUACGGGCUGUGGGAGCAGGAGCCCGGAGAUGGACCCUGAGACAAGGGUCCAGGCCCUACGGGGCGCAGCAGGCGCGAAACCUCCGCAAUGCGGGAAACCGCGACGGGGUUAGCCGGAGUGCCCGUGCAUUGUACGGGCUGUCGGGGUGCCUAAACAGCACCCCAUAGCAAGGGCCGGGCAAGGCCGGUGGCAGCCGCCGCGGUAAGACCGGCGGCCCGAGUGGCGGCCACUCUUAUUGGGCCUAAAGCGUCCGUAGCCGGCCCAGUAAGUCCCCCG
rnacentral:rRNA from 1 species